rnacentral:rRNA from 1 species
GAUCAUGGCUCAGGAUGAACGCUAGCGACAGGCCUAACACAUGCAAGUCGAGGGGCAGCGGAGAGGUAGCAAUACCUUGCCGGCGACCGGCGCACGGGUGAGUAACACGUAUGCAAUCCACCUGUAACAGGGGGAUAACCCGGAGAAAUCCGGACUAAUACCCCAUAAUAUGGGCGCUCCGCAUGGAGAGUCCCAUUAAAGGAGAGCAUUUGGUUACAGACGAGCGAUGCGCU